AACGAACGCUGGCGGCAGGCUUAACACAUGCAAGUCGAACGCACCUUUCGGGGUGAGUGGCAGACGGGUGAGUAACGCGUGGGAAUCUACCCUUCUCUACGGGAUAGCUCCGGGAAACUGGAAUUAAUACCGUAUACGUCCUGAGGGAGAAAGAUUUAUCGGGGAAGGAUGAGCCCGCGUUGGAUUAGCUAGUUGGUGGGGUAAAGGCCUACCAAGGCGACGAUCCAUAGCUGGUCUAAGAGGAUGAUCAGCCACAUUGGGACUGAGACACGGCCCAAACUCCUACGGGAGGCAGCAGUGGGGAAUAUUGGACAAUAGGCGCAAGCCUGAUCCAGCCAUGCCGCGUGAGUGAUGAAGGCCCUAGGGUUGUAAAGCUCUUUCAGUGGGGACGAUAAUGACGGUACCCACAGAAGAAGCCCCGGCUAACUUCGUG
rnacentral:rRNA from 1 species